UAGCCACAAUUUCUGAAAUCCACCCCUGUCAAUACAAUUUUGGCAUUGUCCCAGAGUGGGUUCACAUCAUUCCAUGGCAGCUUAUGGAUUCAUUUAUGGCCUAUUGCAUCCCACUAGUCCAUUAUAAAUAUUUUUUUUUGUUAAGCAACUUAAUUAUUGGGAACAGCUACUAUAAAAUAUGCAGAAAGCAGAAAAAAAAGGUGGGCAAUAAUGGAACAUCCGUUGGAUUCUUCUACAAAUAUGGUAAACCCAGGCUCUUCAUUCUAUGGAUAAUUAAACCGCCCCCAUUAAAAUAUGAAAAUGAGCAUAAAACAAAUCAUUCUUCAUUGACUAAAAGGAAACUUCCCCUGGGCGGAAAGUUUUCCAUUUUAUUUUUCCUUGGGAAGAGCAAUAUUUGAAGCUGGUAAUUUAAUCUAAAUUUGUGGUCCGGAUAGAGAAGACUGAAGAGAAGAGAAGACAGAAAUCACCUUAACCCUCUCCAUGUUGAAGACCUGGUUACUGAUUCUUCUGUGAAGAGCCCACUUCUCACCCUCCAACACAACGAGUCCAUCUCCAAACAGCAGCUUAGACAAAGGGUUCAACCCAAUCUUGCCAUAGCAGCCACUUGUAUUCAUAAGAACCUCCUUAAUCAACUCCGGGUCCGCUAUACCCAACCUGGGAAUUGGCCCGAACCACCACACGAAAGUCUUCCCAUAAUCAGAUGACCACCGGUGGUAAUGUGGAGCUACACGAUGAAGUAUGUCAUGCCCAAAAGAAAUGGAUUUUGACUUCACCUCCGCGUACAUACGGUGGAUCUCAGCUGUGUUCCCGAAUAUGGGACUGUAGGCGGGGCCACUUACGCCUUGUUUGUUGAAGUGGCGUUGGAUCCUCCAUGGCACCCAGAUGAUUUUGUGUAUUAAUUUUAGUAUCAAGAUGACAGGAAUGAACAAUCCAACGGCAAGGAGAUGCAUGGGGGUGGUAGAUGAAAGAAAGGGCAGAGAGAGAUGGAGUUUUGGGGAAAGUGUAGUGGAUUUUAAUUGCAGGGAGAGGCUGGACUACAUGCCCAUGAUGGGAGAGCAAAGUCAGAGAGGGGAGUGGGGCCCAACUUAGAAAAAGGAAGAGUGGGUGAGAGCAUACGUGCCAUUGUUAUCCGGACGUGAGUGAUAGAUGGAAAGGGUUAAUAAGGUUCCUGGUUUUGGACUAAGGGGUGCUUGCUAAAAUUUAACACUUAAUACUUAAAUUUCAUUUUAAGUUAAAUUAUAUUUAAAUGAUUUACCACUUAUUAUUUAAUUUUUACUUGUUUAAUAAAAUUAAUUUUAAAUUAAUUUUAAAUUAUCAAAUUGACUUAUUUAUUUUUAUAAAGUAUAAUUAUAAUAAAAAAGGUUGAAUAAUAAUAAUGUCAUGAAAUAAUAAUAAAAAUCAUAGAGAUAUUUAAAACAAGCAAGAUGAAAAAGUAAAAUGAAAAAAUAAACUUAAAAAUAAGUUAAUUGCUUAUACUUAUCGCUUAAAAUUAUUUUUUUAUUUUAAGUUAUUUUAUUAAAUCUUCUUAAUUUACUUAAUAAAAUUAAGUUAUUAAAUCAAUUUAAGUUAUUAGGUUAACUUAUCAAACCUCUACUAAAUCAACUCAAUUUAUUAAAUAGAUGAAAAUGUUUAAUGAAGUUUUUUUUGAUAAAUAAGUCGUUGUUAUAUGAGAUGUUUGAUAAAAUUUAAUACUUAUUAUUUACAUAGAGUUAGAUUGACUUUAACUUAUUUAAAACUUAUUAUUAUUAUUUUUUUAAAUUUUAAGUAUAAAAAUUAUUUGAUAAAAUUAAUUUAAAAUUUAGUUUAAUUUAUUAUAUUAUCAUAUUUAUUCUCAUUAAUUUUAAUUAAUAUUUAUUCUCAUUAAUUUUAAUUUUAAUUUAUAUUUAUUAAUUAUAAGUAAUAAAUUUAUUUAUAAAACAUUUAUGUUUAAAGUAUGGUACAUAUAAAAGAUAAUCAUAAAAUAUUUAUUAUAAUAAAUUGAUUAAAAUCAUAGUUUUAAAAUAUAGUAAUAUGGAUAAAUAAGGUAAAACUUUUUUUGAAAUUAAGAAUAAGUUAAUUAUUUUAAUUUAAUAUUUAAAGUUUACUAAAUAUGCUUAAAAACCCUUCCAGAUUCAUUUCAAAAUUGAAAACAACCGUUGAGCUCCUUUUAGAGCCCGUUUGACAGUGAUUUUUAAAAGUAUUUCUACCCUUAAAAACACUUUUAAGUGUUUUUGGGAUGAAAAUAAAGUGUUUGGCAAAUUUUAAAAAACACUUUUGAAAAUCUGGAAAAACACUUGAAGUGAUUUUUAGAGAAUCACUUGACAGGUGUUUUUUUUAAAAAAACACUUCAAUUUUUUUGAAAUAUUCCAAAAAUGCCCCCAGUGAUUCCCGAUAUCUUUAUUCCCUUUCGUUCAUACCUCUCUCCUUUAUUCUCCUCCUCCAUCGCUCUCCAUCUGAGACAACACAGUAAACCUCUAUUUUCAUUCAAGAUCGUGGAUCGAAGGUAAAUAUUUUUAUUGAUUUAGAUAUUUUUUGUAAAUAUUUUUAAAGAUUUUAGUAUAUUGAUAAAAAAAAAUUAUUAUUUUUAAUUAGAAAAAUCUUUUUUUUUUUUUAGAAAUUAAUAGGUGGUCAUAUAUUGUUUUACUUUUAAAAUUAUCUUUUAUUCAAUGUUCCUUUUUUUUUUUAUUGAUUUAGAUAUUUUUUGUAAAUAUUUUUUAAAAUUUUAGUAUAGUGAUAAAAAAAUUAUUAUUUUUAAUUAGAAAAGUCUUUUUUUUUUUUAGAAAUUAAUAGGUAAUCAUAUAUUGUUUUAAUUUUAAAAUUAUCUUUUAUUCAAUGUUAUUUUUUUAGUGAUUUAGAUGUUUUUUCAUUAAUAAAAAGUUUUUUUUUUGUUUAUCAUACCAUUUUUUUUAAUUAAAAUGGUAUGUCCUUUUUGAUAAUUUAUUAAUAUUAAAAGUGUUUUUAUGUUUAUACAAUAUAUUAUCAAAAACACUUUAGAAUCAUUUUUUCUGAUUAUCAUAAAAGUGUUUUUCACAGAAACACUAUAGUAGAAAACACUUCAAAUAAAAACACUUCCACUAGAAUCACUACCAAACGGGUUCUAAAUCAAAUUUAUUGAAUCGGUCAUAAUAUUUUUCUAACCUAUAUGUAUAUGUUUAUAUUAUUAUUUGUAUAAUAAAUAAUUACAAAAUAAAUAAAAUUUAUUUAUUUUCCUAACAAAAUGAAAUUAUAUAUAUAAUAAAAAAUAAUAUCAUUUGGAAACAUUUUAUAUUUUAUAUUUGAAUUAUUUUUACUUGUUUUCUUAAAAUUGUUUUAAAAAUAAUUAUACAAAUACAAAUAUUGAUCGGAAAUAAAAGUUGCUUUUGAAAAUUUUUUAAAAACAUAAAAAAUAGGUUAAAGAAAAUUUCAAGUUCCUUAGGCACUAUUAUUUUAUUAAUCUAUGAAACAUAAUCCAAUAGUUGUAAAAAAUAAUUUUCAAAAACCAAUUUUUAAAAAUUCUCUAUUUUUUUUUAACUUACAUCACAUUUAUCAAUGCAAGAGGAAAAAACGUUACCUUCUCCAUCAAAUCCGAUCCAUUUCGUAACUGUUUUUAAAAACAAUUCUGAAAAAUAGUUUUUAAAAAUUGCUUUUGAAAACUGUUCUAUAUUUUUAUAAGAUAAAAGUUUGUUUGGAAAUUUAAAAUAUUUUUAAUUUAUUUUUAAUAUUAUUAAAUAUGUGUGGAUCCCGCAAUUUUGUUUGAUGCGUUCCCACUCGAUAGCGAAGCUCAUUUUUUUAUUUAUUUGGUGAAAAUUUGAUUUUUUUUUAAAAGACUUGAAGUCGCCAUUUAUUUUUAUUUUAUUUUUGAAGGGAAAAAAAAAAGAAAAAAAACCCUAAGUGUGACUCCUAAAGGAGAAACAAGUUUAUGAAAAAGUGAGUUUGAGUCCGGGGUCAGGUUAUUUAUCGGGAAAGUACGGUGGUGAGCCGUAACACCCCUCUGAGUUCCUUAAAAACCGGUCUCUAUUAAAUAAGGUAAGACAAGUGUGACAAUUGACGAGAAAAUCAAUGGAUACUAAUAAAAUGAUCGGAUAAUAAAAUGAAACAUACAUAAGAAUAAGCUAAGUGAGAGUGAGAUCGUAUUUUAGCAACAAAUAAUACUGCGCUAUCACGGAAAUAGGGUUAGCUCAAAUACAACUUAUUACAUGCAUAUUAAAGAGCAAGACAAAGAUCAAACAAUAUUCAUUAAGUACAACAGUUGAUAAUCAGAAGAGAUCAUAUGUAGGACCCUCACCAAAGCCCAAUUUAUUUUUAUAUGAAUUAAUCUCACAAAUUCCAUUGCUUUUGAAAUUAUGAAAAUCAUAUUCAUUCUUAUUAAGAAAAAAAAUAAAGGAAAACAAGAGAUUAUUUGAAAAUCAAAGAAAACUUAUGAAGAUAAAAUAUUAAAAAAAAGAGUAGAAUUAAAAUUAUUCGAAAGAAAACUAGAGUUUUGAAAUUCAUUUAGAAAUUGAAGUCUUGAAAAUUAUUUGAAAAUUGGGGUUUCGACAGUUAAAUUUAAGAAUUGGAAUUUUGGGAAAUUAAAUUUGAAAGAAAUUGGAAAUUUGAAAAUUAUUUGAGAAUUGGAGUUUUGGAAAUUAAAUUUGAAAGAAAUUGGAGUAUCGAAAAUUGUUUGAGAAUUGAAGUUCUGAAAAUUAAAUUAUGAAAAUUGGGAACUUGGAAAUUAUUUUAAAAUGGAAGUUUUGAAAAUUGGAAUUUUGAAAUUAUUUGAAAAUAGAAGUUUUAAAAAUUAAAUUUAAAAAUUUGGAAUUUUGAAGAAUUGUUUGAAGAUGGAAUCUUUUUUUUAAUAAAUAAAUAAAUAAACAAACAAAUAAAAUAAUAAUAAUAACAAAAAUAAUAAUAAUAAAACAAAUAUAAGUGAAAAUUGGAAUUUUGGAAAUUAGAAAUCAAAUUUGGAAGUCAGAAUUUUGAAGAAUUAUUUAAAGAUAGAAUUUUAAAAAUAAGUAAAUAAAUAAAUAAAUGAAAUAAUAAUGAUUAAAUAAAUAAUGAUUAAAUAAGUAAAUGUGAAAAUAGGAAUUUAGGAAAUUGGAAAUUAAAUUUGGAAACCGAAAUCUUAAAGAAUCAUUUAAAGAUGAAAAUUUCAAAACAAAUAAAUAAAUAAAUAGAAUAAUAAUAAUAACGAAAAAUAAUAAUGAUUAAGUAAAUAAAUGUGAAAAUUGGAAUUUUGUAAAUUAGAAAUUAAAAUUGGAAAUCCGAAUUUUGAAGAAUUAUUUAAAGAUGAAAUUUUAAAAAUAAGUAAACAAAUAAAUAAAUAAAUGAAAUAAUAACGAUUAAAUAAAUAAAUGUGAAAAUUGGAAUUUUGGAAAUUGGAAAUUAAAUUUUGAAACCAAAAUCUUAAAGAUGAAAUCUUAAAAAAUAAAUAAAUAAAUAAAUAAAUAAAUAGAAUGAUGAUAAUAACGAAAAUAAUAAUGAUUAAGUAAAUAAAUGUGAAAAAUAGAAUUUUUUAAAUUGGAAAUUAAAUUUUGAAACUGAAUUUAAAAAAAAAAACUAAAGAUGGAAUUCUAAAAAUAAGUAAAUUAAUAAUAAUAAUAAUAAUAAUAAUAAUAAAAUAAUGAUUAAAUAAAUGAAUGUGAAAAUUGGGGUUUUGAAAAAUUAUUGGAAAUUGAAUUUAAGACCUAAAAAUUCUAUGAAGAAUUGUGGAGUUGAAUUAUUUGGAAGUUGGAUUUUCAAAAAUUAAUUUUUGAAGUUUGUGGGCUUUGAAAAUGGGCCCAAAAGGGUGGCCAUGCAAACCGGAACAACAGGAGUCAUUCCUAUUCUCAGGAGCAUGAGGAGGAAUUGCAUGCAUCCAUCUAUAUCUUCUAACACCAGCAAAAUAGGUCGUCUGAUAAUCAAAGAUUUAAUAGUGCGCUUAUCGUUCCAGAAAAUAAAACCUUCCAUUGCAUCGCUUGUGUCAUUCCGAAGGAUCCCAUUGUGACCCAUAACAAAAGAUCAUUUUUAAAGAAAACUAAUAAAGUGCAUGUCAGGAUAGCCAUUACUAAUUCCAAAACUCCCAACCUAUCACUUUUGAAGAGUAGGAAAAACGGUCCACUCUUGAAAACCAGGGUGAACGGUCAGAUCCGAGACCGCCCCAAUGCCGCCAAAGACGCCGACAUCUCCAAACCAAAACCCUGAAACUCUUACGUCUACAAACCCCAAAACGCCAAGCAUUUCAAGUCUCUGAAGCGUUCAUUGAUCAGAGAACCUACCCGAAGCAUUCGAACCUCGUUGCAAUCGCGUCAUCUUCAAUCGGAUUCAUCUCCCACUGCUCAUGCCUGUCGCACUACCCCCACCGACGGACUCAAGGCCGCAGCCACAGUAGGCCCUUCCUCAUUCGUUUAAAAAAAAUGACUAAAAUGUCCUACCAUCCAAGAACGUAGGAGUGCUGUGAAAGCCAACCUGAGGUGGCGAGCCCCGAACCCAGGUGAUGUUGUCCAAAGGAAGCGAAACUCACUCCAGAGGCCAAGAUAAAUCAGGCCAAUCCACUGUAGUAGCACCAGAAUGUGUUUCCAUCAGUUUCUCGAUCUGCUGGGGAACGAGUCGCCUUGAACCACAACUUGCGCCACUUCUGGAAUCCAUAAAUAUAAGCAAUCUAUAGCUCGCUCUGGAUUGUGGUGAGCUGUUCGAAGUGCACGGAUAACAGUCCCCUCGACCCAAUUUCCUCCGCCCGUAUCCAUUAUUUGCUGAAUAGUUUGCUCAAGACUAUUAGCAGAAAAGUGAAAUUUCCAGGAUGCAAACUCUCAUCUCUAAAACCUUUAGAGGACUGUCAUGAUGGUUUGAUGUUUUUUUGUUAACGUGCCAAAGAGUAAACGGAAACAUGAUAAAGACUCAGAGGCAUUUAUCGGUGUACCAGCCGAGAGCAGAACAGGGGAUGCGCACAGUUUAACACUCACCUCAAAAAGGGACACCGAAAAUAGAGAGUAAACAGCAAGAACAGAGCAAGGAGAGUGAAGAUAAAAUAACAUAACAAAUGGUCGAACGAAGCCCUGUUUCAUGCUUUAAUCGAUGUGCUUAAACAGGUGAGCGGAAUCCAAACACAUUUUUAAAUAGAGAUGAAAGCAUGAUAGGCCAUCUCACGAAAAACUCGAACUAGAGCCGAAGAAAUAAGGCCAAACCAGUCAUGAAAUACAUAAAAAAAAAAAACUCGGAUUCCACCGAUAUGCACAACAUAUGAUGUCUGCAAUCAAGCAUCAACAUGAACUCGGAAAUAGCAGGAGGUGAGACAAAACAAUCUAAAGUAGAGAAAUAUCAAGCAUGCCUCAAUCAUACUUGGACGAAAACGACGAACUCCUCCUCUGUUUCUUCUUGCUCCCAAACUCUCCCAAACCUCACUUGCCUCAAGCUCUCUCAAAAAAUUUUUCCCCCAAAAACCCUUCAUUCCACUCAUCUCUACCUUAACUGCUCUCGUUCCAUCCAUCAUCUCUUGCUCAGAGAUGUCUUUCUCUCAACCACCACCAUGGCAAGUUGGUGGUGGUUGCACAUGUCCACGCAGUUUGCUUCCUCCAGAAAGAGGUUCCCCCACUUCAAAAAUGAAAAAAAAAUUCAACUUCUCCCCCUCCCCCCAAGGUCGUGUCCACAAAGGGGUCUACAAUACGUUUUAAAAAUAAUUUUAUAAUUUUUUAUUUUUAAAUAUUAUACAUAUUUGUAUAAUUAGCAUAAAACCCUUUUUGGUUAUCAAAUGUGUUUUCUGUGUUUUUUGUUAUAAAAAAAAAUCCAUCUUUUACCAUUAUCAAGAACUUAUUUCAGUUGCAUAUUAUAAGAAAUUUGAACAACUGUUUCAAAUAUAGUAUCAGAAAGUACUACUUGAAGAACCUCAAUAUCUACUAACUUAUUAGUUAAAUGACAAUUGGCACAUAAGUUUCCCAAGAAUUAUUUUUUUUCCCUUUUUGUUUUCCUUUCUUCUCAUCUUUGAGCAUGUGGGUGCUCAUUUUAACGCCCAAAUACACAGAUUCUACACGAUAAUACGAAUGAUGAAAAGCCUACUUCUCACUUUUCAACCAAAGAAGUCCACCAUCAAGGAAUAGCUUGAAAAUGAGGGAUUAUGCCCAAUCUGAUGAUAUUAUUACUAUCCCAGUGGGAAAGAGGUGGGUGGAUUUUGCAGGAACAACUUGGAGAGCCUUCUGUAGUGAAAAGUGAAAACCAAUGGCUGAUGAAAAGAGUCUUCCAACAGGUUAGAGAGGGGCCCCUCAAUUCAAAACAUGGAGAUUGUCUUUGUCCAUCUUAAAUGACACUAUUCUUGAGUUCUGUUCGUCUUUACAGGAAAAUUAUGUUUUUUUACCAAUAACUGAUAGCAUGAUGGGAAGUACAGCUUCAUACAAUUCUCAAUCUUUUUCAGGUAAAGCACACCAAUGAAUCAGACUCAGGUGAGCUGGUUUCAGGCAGAGAUGCAGCAAUUCAAUGCAUGAACUCAAUCCACCAAGCUGAAUACAUAACAAGUUUAUUUCAAUUAAUACACACUAUUACAUAAUCCCACAAUAUCGUAUACCAAAUUAGUAUACACUACCAUAUUAUAUACUCUGGCUCAUCUUUAUCACAGAAACUCCAAACACCAGGAAAGUUUUCAGCUUAAAAUCCUUCUAAAGAGAAUGUGAGCACCAUACUGAGGCUGCAGGGUGAUAAACAGCAUUGGGGCAUGAACAUAUGUUGAUGAUAACUCGAAAGAAUAAUGUUGGACGAUCAUAGAGAGGGCAAUUUUUGCCUCAACCACUGCAAGAGUUUGACCUACACAGAUCCUGGGGCCCAACCCAAAGGGGAAAAACGAGGCUAGAUGCUUCCGAGGUUCCUUAAAUCUCAGUGGAUUGAAAUCAUUAGCAUCUUCACCCCAUAUUUUAGGGUCGUGAUGAACAGCAGUCAUGACCAAGUACAGUUGCGUGUUUGAAGGAAUAUCGAGACUCCCUAGCUUGACAUUUUUCGAUACUUUCCUUGUCAUCGCCACAACAGGGGGGUAGAGUCGAAGUGUUUCAUUGAGUAUCAUGCUUACCUGUAAACAAUAGUAUUAAGUGUAUAUUUAUCAUACUAAUGUAGAAAGCUAGGUCCUGCCACAUAUAUUGAAAAUGACUGAAAAAAUUUCAUGAAUCCUGUCAACUACUUGAAAUUUUUUACGUGGAGUUUUGGUGAGCUUACAAUUUUAAGGUCGUUUAAAUUCUCUGCUGCAGAAGGCGCAUUGUGUCCAUAGAUGCGAACCACUUCUUCCCGUGCUUUGUCUUGCCAUUCUUGAUGAAAAGCUAGAAGAAGAAGAGCCCAAGUCAAAAGAUUAGCAGUCGUUUCCUUUCCUGCAAAGUAGAAUGUCUUGCAUUCGCCUAUAACAUCCUCCACUCCAAACAUCUCUUCUCCUCCCUGCUGAUUCUUGUUGGCAGACAUUAAUAGACUAAUUAAAUUUUCUGAAUUUUCCUUUGCUUUGCUAUUAGUCUCAAUUAACAUCCGAAUGGACUUUUGAGUUUCCUCCUCAAGUCUCCAUCUUUCUCUGUUCUUCUUAGUGGGCAAAAAUCUGUAUAUAAUUUGGUUUUACAAAAACUCGUCAACUUCUUGUUAUGUCAUGCUCUAGACCAACUCUCCAAUGAAGCGUUGAAAAAGAUAAGCAGAGACAUUGAUAAUUAUAACAACCUUCCUUUUCUCCCCAUAUACUUUACCUCUGUACUAAAGCCCUCUAAGUUUGUCAUGCAAUUAGACUAAUAAGGUUAAAGCAUGAGAGUUUAUUGAAGAUAAGCAUCACCUGAAGCCGGGAAUAUAAACACUUCUUAAAGCCAUGGAGACAAGGUGCAUCUACUGUUCUUGUAAUUCAAAAAUGCGCUUCCCCUCUUCAAAGCUGCUUCCAAAAGCAGUUCUUGAUAUGAUAUCUGCUGUGAGGUUAUGCAGUUCUUUGUGCGCAUCAAUCUCCAACUCCUCCCUCCCUCCUCUUUCUUCCUCCCACUUCUCCAUCAUCUUUGUCACACUAGCCACAAUUUCUGGAAUCCACCCCUGUCAAUACAAUUUUGGCAUUGUCCCAGAGUGGGUCCACAUCAUUCCAUGACAGCUUAUGGAUUCAUUUAUGGCCUAUUGCAUCCCACUAGUCUAUUAUAAAUAAUUUUUUUGUUAAGCAACUUAAUUAUUAGGAACAGCUACGAUAAAAUAUGCAGAAAGCAGAAAAAAAAGGCUGGCAAUAAUGGAACAUUCGUUGGAUUCUUCCACAAAUAUGGUAAACACAUCCUCUUCAUUCUAUAGAUAAUUAAACCGCCCCCAUUAAAAUAUGAAAAUGAGCAUAAAACGAAUCAUUCUUCAUUGACUUAAAGGAAACUUCCCCUAGGCGGAAAGUUUUCCAUUUUAUUUUUCCUUGGGAAGAGCAAUAUUUUAAGCUGGUAAUUUAAUCUUAAUUUCUGGUCCGGAUAGAGAAGACGGAAGAGAAGAGAAGACAGAAAUCACCUUAACCCUCUCCAUGUUGAAGACCAGGUUACUGAUUCUUCUGUGAAGAGCCCACUUCUCACCCUCCAACACAGCGAGUCCAUCUCCAAACAGCAGCUUAGACAAAGGGUUCAACCCAACCUUGCCAUAGCAGCCACUUGUAUUCAUAAGAACCUCCUUAAUCAACUCCGGGUCCG
rnacentral:lncRNA from 1 species